rnacentral:misc_RNA from 1 species
CUUUCUCAACAGCCGUGUGCUGUUGGUAUUGAGUGGUACUCUGUCCAGGGUUAGCUUGAAAUAUAGUCUGGCGAGAGCCGUGGCGCGCCUGCGAGCGUGAGAAUAAUGUAUUAGGUUCUGCCAACUCAUUAGGCUCCGCCGAAGGACCAGCGCCACACCAGCUCAGCCGCGAAUAUCUUCACAAA